rnacentral:rRNA from 1 species
UGGUGGGGUAACGGCCUACCAAAGCGACGAUCGGUAGCUGGUCUGAGAGGAUGAUCAGCCACACUGGGACUGAGACACGGCCCAGACUCCUACGGGAGGCAGCAGUGGGGAAUAUUGGACAAUGGGCGAAAGCCUGAUCCAGCAAUGCCGCGUGAGUGAUGAAGGUCUUCGGAUUGUAAAGCUCUUCCGACGGGGAAGAUAAUGACGGUACCCGUAGAAGAAGCCCCGGCUAACUUCGUGCCAGCAGCCGCGGUAAUACGAAGGGGGCUAGCGUUGUUCGGAUUUACUGGGCGUAAAGCGUGCGUAGGCGGCUUAUCAAGUCAGAAGUGAAAGCCCGGGGCUCAACUCCGGAACUGCUUUUGAGACUGGUAGGCUGGAGUUCGGGAGAGGGUAGUGGAAUUCCCAGUGUAGAGGUGAAAUUCGUAGAUAUUGGGAAGAACACCGGUGGCGAAGGCGGCUGCCUGGCCCGAAACUGACGCUGAGGCACGAAAGCGUGGGGAGCAAACAGGAUUAGAU